CACGUAGGGCGCGAGCGUUGUCCGGAAUUAUUGGGCGUAAAGAGCUCGUAGGCGGCCUGUUGCGUCCGCUGUGAAAGCCCCGGGGCUCAACCCCGGGAGGCGGAUGGAUACUGCAUGGCUCGAGUACGGAAGAGGCGAGUGGAAUUCCCGGUGUAGCGGUGAAAUGCGCAGAUAUCGGGAGGAACACCAAUGGCGAAGGCAGCUCGCUGGGACGUUACUGACGCUGAGACGCGAAAGCGUGGGGAGCAAACAGGG
rnacentral:rRNA from 1 species